rnacentral:rRNA from 1 species
AUCUGCCUGGUAGUGGGGGAUAACGCUCGGAAACGGACGCUAAUACCGCAUACGUCCUACGGGAGAAAGCAGGGGACCUUCGGGCCUUGCGCUAUCAGAUGAGCCUAGGUCGGAUUAGCUAGUUGGUGAGGUAAUGGCUCACCAAGGCGACGAUCCGUAACUGGUCUGAGAGGAUGAUCAGUCACACUGGAACUGAGACACGGUCCAGACUCCUACGGGAGGCAGCAGUGGGGAAUAUUGGACAAUGGGCGAAAGCCUGAUCCAGCCAUGCCGCGUGUGUGAAGAAGGUCUUCGGAUUGUAAAGCACUUUAAGUUGGGAGGAAGGGCAUUAACCUAAUACGUUGGUGUCUUGACGUUACCGACAGAAUAAGCACCGGCUAACUCUGUGCCAGCAGCCGCGGUAAUACAGAGGGUGCAAGCGUUAAUCGGAAUUACUGGGCGUAAAGCGCGCGUAGGUGGUUUGUUAAGUUGGAUGUGAAAUCCCCGGGCUCAACCUGGGAACUGCAUUCAAAACUGACAAGCUAGAGUAUGGUAGAGGGUGGUGGAAUUUCCUGUGUAGCGGUGAAAUGCGUAGAUAUAGGAAGGAACACCAGUGGCGAAGGCGACCACCUGGACUGAUACUGACACUGAGGUGCGAAAGCGUGGGGAGCAAACAGGAUUAGAUACCC